CAAGUAGUUGGUGGGGUAAAAGCCUACCAAGCCUACGAUCUGUAGCUGGUCUGAGAGGACGACCAGCCACACUGGGACUGAGACACGGCCCAGACUCCUACGGGAGGCAGCAGUGGGGAAUUUUGGACAAUGGGCGCAAGCCUGAUCCAGCCAUGCCGCGUGCGGGAAGAAGGCCUUCGGGUUGUAAACCGCUUUUGUCAGGGAAGAAACGCUCUGGGUUAAUACCCUGGGGUAAUGACGGUACCUGAAGAAUAAGCACCGGCUAACUACGUGCCAGCAGCCGCGGUAAUACGUAGGGUGCAAGCGUUAAUCGGAAUUACUGGGCGUAAAGCGUGCGCAGGCGGUCUUGCAAGACAGAUGUGAAAUCCCCGGGCUUAACCUGGGAACUGCAUUUGUGACUGCAAGGCUAGAGUACGGUAGAGGGGGAUGGAAUUCCGCGUGUAGCAGUGAAAUGCGUAGAUAUGCGGAGGAACACCGAUGGCGAAGGCAAUCCCCUGGACCUGUACUGACGCUCAUGCACGAAAGCGUGGGGAGCAAAACAGGAUUAGAUACCCUGGUAGUCCACGC
rnacentral:rRNA from 1 species